GUGCUUGCUUCAGCAGCACAUGUACUAAAAUUGGAACAAUGCAAAUAACAUUAGCAUGGCCCCUGUGGAAGGAUGACGCACAAAUUCAUGACGAGAUGUGUCU